rnacentral:rRNA from 1 species
GACGAACCGUGCAAACGUUAUUCGGAAUCACUGGGCUUAAAGGGCGCGUAGGCGGGCUCGCCAGUCAGGGGUGAAAGCCUCCAGCUCAACUGGAGAAGUGCCUUUGAUACUGCGAGUCUCGAGGGAGGUAGGGGCGUGCGGAACUUCCGGUGGAGCGGUGAAAUGCGUAGAUAUCGGAAGGAACACCGGUGGCGAAAGCGGCGCGCUGGACCUCUUCUGACGCUGAGGCGCGAAAGCCAGGGGAGCAAACGGG